rnacentral:rRNA from 1 species
UACGGAAGGCAGCGGUGGGGAAUAUUGCACAAUGGGCGCAAGCCUGAUGCAGCCAUGCCGCGUGUAUGAAGAAGGCCUUCGGGUUGUAAAGUACUUUCAGUCGUGAGGAAGGUGUUAAGGUUAAUAACCUUAGCAAUUGACGUUAGCGACAGAAGAAGCACCGGCUAACUCCGUGCCAGCAGCCGCGGUAAUACGGAGGGUGCGAGCGUUAAUCGGAAUUACUGGGCGUAAAGGGCACGCAGGCGGUUAAUUAAGUUGGAUGUGAAAUCCCCGGGCUUAACCUGGGAAUGGCAUUCAAGACUGGUUAGCUAGAGUCUUGUAGAGGGGGUUAGAAUUCCAUGUGUAGCGGUGAAAUGCGUAGAGAUGUGGAGGAAUACCGGUGGCGAAGGCGGCCCCUGGACAAAGACUGACGCUCAUGUGCGAAAGCGUGGGGAGCAAACAGGGAUUAGAUACC